GCUGAUUGGCCGCCGGGGCUUCAUUCACGGCCCCCCUACCGUCCGCGUACACACUCACGCCCCGGGGGCGCGGCCGCCACGUGGGGAGUGGCGCGGGGGUGGCCCUGGGACCGCACCCCCUCUCGUCCUGGCUGUGUGGGCCCCGCUUUCCCCCAGCGCUGGAGACUCUGAGCCCGGCCGGUCCCACAUUCCACGCGAGCUGAAUUCCCGCCCGCAUCCCGCCCGGGCAGCAGGGAUUGCGGGCUCCGGGAGGCGCUCGGGCUCCGAGAAGCGCUCGGGCUCCGAGAAGCGGCUCAGCCCCGCGCCCCUCCCUCCUCAGUACCGCUGCCGGCGGACCAGGAUUCCCGCGGGUCCUGGCGGCUGCGAGCGCGAGGCGGCGCGGAUUCGCGGCUCGGUUCCGGCGCGACUGCUCACCGCGCCCGCCUCGCCUCCCGCGGCUGCCAGCGUGCACUGGGCGCUCCUCGGCGCGUCUGCCCGGCCCGUCUCGGCUUUCCUUCUCCUUCCUCUAGUCCCAGCGUCACAACUCCGCCGACCUCCUCUGCCCUGAGAGCGCGUCCGGUGCGGGCGGAGUCGGAUGGACUCUGGCUUCACGCCUCGCGCGGGCACACCUUCUCCCGGGCACUGAGGCCCAGUUCUUAGGGGAGGCAGAGUCCUUCUGGAGUUUGACCCUUGGAUUCCAUCCAGAGCAGCCUCCAAAAUGACACCUUUGAAGUUGUGUAUCGAGCUGGGGGAUGUAAAGGGAGGAGAAGAAAGAAGAUGAAGAGAUACCAGCCAGCCUUAAGGAGUGGACAUCCUGCCUGGUGAAACUGAACAAGACACCGACCGCAUAUGGAGUUUCGCUCUGUCGCCCAGGCUGGAGUGCAGUGGUGCCAUCUCGGCUCACCGCAACCUCCACCUCCAGGUUCAAGUGAUUCUCCUGCCUCAGCCUCUCAAGUAGCUGGGAUUACAGGAGCCCUCUCCCACCGCUCCUACACUGCUGGUAAAAGGCAGCCGCACUGCCUGCUGGAAGACCUGCCAGCUUGGGCUUCAGAGCACUUCUGCCUCAGAUCCACGACGAUCCCUUCUGUCAUCGUGGGACCUUUCCUGGGAUUUGAUUUAGGGCGACGCUUCCUCCUGUCUGUGUCCUGAGUCCUGCCUUCCCUGGCUGGUCCUCCUUGCUUAGUCACCCAGAUCAUUCCCAGACAGCUGCGCCCUGGAUAUGGCUCCUCUCAUGUGCUGCCUGGAAAUGUCUCCUCUCUUCUCACCUGCUGAGAGGUCCUUCUGGGCAGGGACUCGGGCAGAUUCAUUCCUGCCUGCCCCACAUUUCCCUAGCCCAGGGCCUGGCCCGUUGCAGUGCUGAAGGAUGAUUCUGGUAAGAAACAAGGUACUCCAGCUCACAUCUUGCAAUGAUUAUGCCUCCCCCACUCUCCCUUCUCCUUGCAGUUCUCUCUCUUCACUGAUGAUUUUGGAUGCAAUUUAAAAUAAAAAUAUUGAUUAAAAAUGGAAACUAUAUAAAUAAAAAUGAAAACACUUAACAUCAAUGUGUCAUUUGAGCUUUAACAUAAAGAGAAAACAUGUGAAGAUGACAAUUUGUGGACAAUUCCAAAUUAGCAUGAAGUUCUCAGCUGGUAAGUAUCUUGACUUUUUUCCCCUCUCUUGGGGUCUGUGGAAUCCUGACCAGGCAUGUGGUGCAGUAGAAUGGGAGGAACUUGGCUUCGGUCUUGAUAAGCCUGGGUUGAAUCUUCCACUUAUGGGCUUUCUGAAGCUCAGUUUCCUUAUCUGUGUAAUGGGGAGAAAGGCCCUACUUCAUGGGGUGAUUGUGAGGCUGAUAGAAAAGGGCACACAGGGGCCAGGCCCAGUGGCUCAUGCCUGCAAUCCCAGCACUUUGGGAGGCCGAGGCAGGAGGAGUUCGAGACCAGCCUGGCCAACAUGGUGAAACCCUGUCUCUACUAAAAAUACAAAAAUUAGCUGGGCAUGGUGGUGGGUGCCUAUAGUCCCAGCUACUCAGGAGGCUGAGGCACGAGAAUUGCUUGAACACAGGAGGCAGAGGUUGUAGUGAGCCAAGACUGCAUCACUGCAUUCCAGCCUGGGCAACAGAGUGAGACUCCAUCUUAAAAAAAAAAAAAAGUCAGGCUGGUCUCGAACUCCUGACCUCAGGUGAUCUGCCCGCCUCGGCCUCCCAAAGUGCUGGGAUUACAGGCAAAACCCUGUCUCUACUAAAAAUACAAAAAUUAGCUGGGCGUAGUGGCAGGUGCCUGUAAUCCCAGCUACUUAGGAGGCUGAGGCAGGAGAAUCGCUUGAACCCAGGAGGUGGAGGUUGCAGUAAGCUGACAUUGCACCAUUGCACUCCAGCCUGGGUGACAGAGCAAGACUCUGUCUCAAAAAAAGGAAAAAAAGAAAGAAAGAAAGAAAAUGGUGCACAAGGCCAGAAGCAGUGCCUUGUGUCUAUCAUUUCACCUUCAGAAUACAGCCAGAGUCCAACCACUCCUUCCACAGACACUGCUAUAGUAGAGGUCCAUGCCCAGUGGUCUAUUCUCUAUGCAGCAGUCACAGUGAUCCUGUUAAUUAGCAUUUAAGUCGUAGCACAUCACUUGUCUGCUCAGAGCCUGCAGUGGUGCGUAUCUCAUUGGGAGUAAAAACCAAGGUCAUCAUAGCAGGCUCAAGGCCUCACAUGGUCAGUCAUCCCUCACCCCAGGGCCCCCAUCCCUGUCUUUACUAUUCUCCCCCAUUGCACUUCCCUCCAGCCCCACUGCCCUCCUGGCUGUUCCUGAACAUGUCGGGCACUCUCCUGCCUCAGGGCCUUUGCACACGCCAUGCCCUUUGCUGGAAUGCUCUUCCCCCAGAUAUCCUCAAGCCUCCCUCCAUCACCCCCUUCAGGUCUUUACCCAAGUGUCCCCUUCUCCGUAAGGAAGACCCUGUUCUUUCUGACUUAUUUUUAUCUGUGGCACUUGUCACCAUCCAGUAUAUAUAUUUUUUGCUGACUGAUUUUCUAUGUUGCUUG